CACACCGUGGCGCAAUGGAAGCGCACCAGGGUGGUACCCUGGGGGUACAGGUUCAAUUCCUGUCGGUGUGU